rnacentral:rRNA from 1 species
UACGUAGGGUGCAAGCGUUGUCCGGAAUUAUUGGGCGUAAAGAGCUCGUAGGCGGCUCGUCGCGUCGGCUGUGAAAACCUGGGGCUCAACCCCGGGCCUGCAGCCGAUACGGGCGAGCUAGAAUUCGGUAGGGGAGACUGGAAUUCCUGGUGUAGCGGUGAAAUGCGCAGAUAUCAGGAGGAACACCGGUGGCGAAGGCGGGUCUCUGGGCCGAUAUUGACGCUGAGGAGCGAAAGCGUGGGGAGCGAUCAGG